CCUCAAAGUAAGGUCGUACUCUUUCUAAAAAAUCAACAAGGGUUUCCUGAUCACGUAGUUCUUGAGCAAACAAACAUUGCAUCCCAGGAUAUCUUUCUGCUAAAGAUGCUAAACAGGAAACUAGAUGGGCAUUAAGAUGAGGAUUAUAAAUGCAAUCAAAGAAAAGCACAUAAUCCAAAAAGUCAAAUGUCCAGUCCUUUGGAUAGGGUGUAGAUUUCCAAUCCAACUCAUGGACUUCAACAUCAGAAGCGUUGUUUUGAUCUAAAUUCUCUCGUAUCUUUUUCAGGUACAAUUGUUUAUCUGAAGCGACAUAGUUUCCCACAAAAGGACUUAAAAGAAUACCAGCUAAUCCGCUAAUCCCAGAACCCAACUCGAGAAUUGAAGUUUUAGGCGUUAAACUAUUCAUAAACCAAGAUUGUUGCAAUAACCAAGGAACAACUUUUACUGACGUUUUCCACAAGACAGAACCAGUAGAACCUCGGCUUUGGUGUAAUGAUUGAAGACUUUGUUUUACCUUGAUGGGCUUGUUGCCUAUUGUUAAAGCAAUUUGUUCUUGCUUCGAAUCAAGCAUUCCUAAAUCUGCAUCCUUUUGUUUCGACAAUGCAAAUAAAAUCUGAGUCUCUUCUUCCACAUUAUCGACAGAACUUAAAUAUUUUUCUGGAAUUUGCAUGCUGUUAUAUACAAUUCUUAUUAGAAGAAACUAUAAAAUUAGAUGAGAUGGGUAAAAUUUGGAGGAGAGAUUGACACGAUACUAAAGAUGUUACGAAAAAUCGAAUGAUUAUGAAUUGCAAGACUGGAGCUUUUAUAAAGCAAUUCACUAACAGAUACUAAAAUUUU